rnacentral:rRNA from 1 species
GACGGGUGAGUAAUGCCUAGGAAUCUGCCUGGUAGUGGGGGACAACGUUUCGAAAGGAACGCUAAUACCGCAUACGUCCUACGGGAGAAAGCAGGGGACCUUCGGGCCUUGCGCUAUCAGAUGAGCCUAGGUCGGAUUAGCUAGUUGGUGGGGUAAUGGCUCACCAAGGCGACGAUCCGUAACUGGUCUGAGAGGAUGAUCAAUCACACUGGAACUGAGACACGGUCCAGACUCCUACGGGAGGCAGCAGUGGGGAAUAUUGGACAAUGGGCGAAAGCCUGAUCCAGCCAUGCCGCGUGUGUGAAGAAGGUCUUCGGAUUGUAAAGCACUUUAAGUUGGGAGGAAGGGCAGUAAGCGAAUACCUUGCUGUUUUGACGUUACCGACAGAAUAAGCACCGGCUAACUCUGUGCCAGCAGCCGCGGUAAUACAGAGGGUGCAAGCGUUAAUCGGAAUUACUGGGCGUAAAGCGCGCGUAGGUGGUUUGUUAAGUUGAAUGUGAAAGCCCCGGGCUCAACCUGGGAACUGCAUCCAAAACUGGCAAGCUAGAGUACGGUAGAGGGUGGUGGAAU